AGAAAUAAGAAAUUACAUUAUUAUAUUUUACACAACAUUUAACAUUUUGAUAUAACGACCUUAUUAUAGCAAGCAUUUUCCCACUUACGCCAUGUUUAAUUAAUUUAUACCACAAAUUUUGUCUAUUUACAAAGUCAAAUGCUUUUUUGUAGUCAACAAAACAGCAAUAAAGCCGUUUUCGUGCAUUACACACUCUGUUUAUUAGGGACUGUAGAACGAAAAUUGCAUCCACAGUGAACAAAUGUUUUCUAAAGCCAAACUGGGCGUCAGUGAUAAUAUUAUUUUCCAUGUCAAAAAUACAUAAUCUUUCAUUUAGUAUAUUGGUGAACACUACCUAGGCAGCUAACUAGAGUAAUACCUCUAUAAUUAUCCGUGUCGUUGGGAUUUCCCUUUUUAAAAACAAGCACUAUACAUCCAACUGACCAACUAUGAGGGAAAUUACCGGAUUUAAAAACAAUAUUAAACAAUAUCAACAAACAUGGCAUCAAAACAUUCAUACAAAUAAUAAAAUAUUCAUUUAAAAGAUAAUCAUAGCCACAUGCUUUGUUUUUCUUUAACUUGUGAAUAGCAUUCGAUAUUUCACUCUCGGUGAUGUCACUAUCUAAUAAGCUACCCACUGAUUCAUCAGUAUAAAGAGUAUCGCAAUUGGUUAAAACGUUAUCUACUUCACUGUUACUUGUUGGUUCGUUUAAAGCCAGAUUUAGAAAAUGAUUAUAAAAGUCGCCAUUACUGAGUUCUGAUUUAACAUUAGUUUUACGUUUCUCGAACUGUUUGUAAAAUGAUUUUGGGUUAUGUUUCCGCAAAUAAUUCAGCUUGUUCCCUUGUUGAGACGUGUACUGUCGUUUUAGUCUGCGUUCUAAAUGUUUGUAAGCAUUUUUCAAACUAACAGGUUCUAUACGAUUUUCUGUUGUUUUAGACAGAGGGUUUUUUCCUGCAUUGCAAGUUUUAUAGUUGAUCAAGUUCUGCACAUCACCAUUAUUAACAGCACAGGUUAUCAAUGAUGUAGCACAACCAGCAUCAUUAUUCAAACGACCCGACCCACAGUCGGGUCGUUAUAGAGAUAUAUAUGUGUGUGAGAAUGUUUUUAUAAACAUCGGGAUCUUCACAUCCCUCCAGGUGAUCCCUGAAUAAAGACCUUAAACCCCAGCUGAAGUCUUCUGUGCUAUAUAUAGAACCUUCGGUAACAUAUAUAUAUAUAAAAUUAUUCCAACUGUAGAUAUUAAUGUUACAAGUAUUUAAUAAUAUACAGUGUGGUUAAUAAAUUGUGUAAUUGAAUGUUACGUAGCGUAUAUCAAUGUCGUUGUUUGUUGUUUUCCUACUCUUUUUUUCUGUGGGAUAAUACCGCUGAUAUUUUGAUGAAUUUUACACCAGU